GGGGUAGUAGGUACGAUGGAAUCGGCGUGAGACAAACACGAUGGCGAGAAGUUCGAUCAUUUGCAGAGUUAACCAACCCUGCGACGUGAUUUACCGCACGGGAUCUAGAAAGGGAGACAGGGUGUAUACAUAAUGCAUGUUUUCCUUUCUGUGUGGACAUAAUUGUAUGCGAUAUUACCCAAGGGAAUAAGGUUCCUCGGCCACGCGGUAACGAGGCAUACUAUCCUGGUGGUCCUGGUAUAGUAGUCCACGUAUACCAUGGGUAUCUUGAGACCUUAUGUUCCAUCUCGUAAAGGCCCCCUGUCAAGAUAGUACGACGUUCAACCGAGAGAUAGCGCCUACGCAUCGUCAAGGUAACAUGGCUGAUGUGACUCCCUUGAAAAUAUUGCCUUUUGAUGCCCAAUUACAGGGUCGCCUUUCCUUUAUGCUCUGAUUCUCCUUCAGGAUAUACUCCAGGCGAAGAGUUUCUUUUACGUCGGUUCUUCUGCUUCUACGAAUACUCGAGUAUAAUUGAGGAACCACAAAAAAAGAUUAAGGAUUCAUCGAGAUAACAGAUGCUAACCUAAAAAGCUGUGACUGGAUGAAAAGAGGAAUUCAAAAUUAAGGGGCCACCUAGUUAUUUCUCGCCAGUGCGUAAGAGUCCCUUGGAUGAUAUAACUGAUAUUACAUAACAUCAGACAAGGACGUCCCAUGAAUAGGUGGAGUAUCCAGAACAGGACUUUAUCAGGAGAGGAGACGUGAGAUCGUUACGCGAACCCAAAGCGUGAUUCGUCCCGAGAGAAGUCUGCAUGCGCAAAGCCAAUUUCCCGGAACAUUAGCCGCAGACGGUGUUUGUCCCAGCGACUAUAGUGACAGUCGCCAUAAUUCCUGUGAAACGCGGGAUUCUAUAAAUUGCAGUAAAAGGGAGGAUAAGAAAGUCGGUUUUACCAGAUGCAGAAAAAUCCACUGAGAACAAAGGUGCUUGACAACCUGGCACUGUAAAGCAUAGAAUAAAACGAACAUAUGUGGUCGGAAUCCGAAAUUCUGCUGACGAUCGCCCUGGGAGCGCAACCAGCCAGGAACUGUAUCCGUUAAAGCUUCUAACUCAGUGAACCGUCCAUACGUAUACUACAGAAAAGGCACUCCCUAAGGAUUUCAUAAGAUAUCUCAAGAGGCCGAGAUUACUGAACGAUGUGCAAGAGAUCGAGGCGAGUAAUUGAAAAAGAUUUGUUACGCCUAUUGAAAAGGGAUGCAGGUCAGUCGGUGGAACAACAAAGUAAAAAAAAUGGAUGAAAGCCAUUUAAGACGGUAUAAAAAGUCAUUAAUAAAAUUAUCAUGGAAGAAAAAGUUAUAAGAAAU